GACAGAGGAUGCAAGCGUUAUCCGGAAUGAUUGGGCGUAAAGCGUCUGUAGGUGGCUUUUUAAGUCUGCCGUCAAAUCCCAGGGCUUAACCCUGGACAGGCGGUGGAAACUACCAAGCUGGAGUACGGUAGGGGCAGAGGGAAUUUCCGGUGGAGCGGUGAAAUGCGUAGAUAUCGGAAGGAACACCAGUGGCGAAAGCGGCUUCCUGGUCCAGCACCGACGUUCAGGCACGAAAGCGUGGGGAGCAAACAGG
rnacentral:rRNA from 1 species